GCGAUAAGUUUGAGACGCAGAGGCUGCUCUUAUGAUCAGCGAAUGUUUGGGGCUUUAAUCCAGUCAUCUCUGAAUUCAUCAUGAAUUCGCUUUGAGUAUUUGGAUGUUUAGACGCCAGAUCUUGCAUUUAAACGUAUUCAGUUACAUUUCAAAUACCCAGUCUUACAAGUAAUAUAAAGAAUACUUCAUUUCAUAUUAUAUGAAGGCUACAAAAUGUUUUUAUAUCAUAUUGAUAUUCAUACUGACAUUUAUUGCCACACUUUAAUGUGUAAAUUAAUUUAUCAGAGAGAAAUAUUCAACACUCACACACACACACACACACAGUUGGGCUUUUAUUUGUGCACAUAACACUGAAACAAACUAUGGAGUAUGCGUUGGCUGCUUCAGACGGGUAAGUCAUUAAAACGUGACUACUUUUUUUAACUAACCACCAGGUGGCGCUUUCGAGAUUCUUAUUCAUAAAACUAUUAUUGCUCCUUAUAUUUUAAUCAACAUAGACAGGCAGAGUGACUUCUUUGUGUCAUUUUGCUAAAUGAUGAGCGGUCCAGUAUUGUCAUGUUUGUGGUUUACAUUCAUGGUACUGAAAAUCAAACUUGUAGAAUGUAAUUUUUUGUGUAAUAUUUGUUUAAAAUAGAUAGAAAAGUAAGAAGAGGAAAUUGCAAGACCAGAUGGAAAGAAAAUAAUGCCCAAGAAACUGCAGUUUGAUCUUCAGAAAAACAAGAACAAGAAUAUGAAGAAAAAACAAAAAGAGACAAAAUCCAAAGGGUCAGGAGAUAAAAACACAGUGAAAGCUGUGAGAUGGGACAGCAUGGACGGUCUGAAACCAAACUUCUCUCGAGAAACAGCUGUAGAGUCUCAUUCUGAUGAAUCAGAGAAGGUCCAGGAUGAGGUGAGUUAAAUCACUGACAGUUAUGAAUGAUCAUGAUAUUCAAGAAUGUAUUUUAGUGUUGACUAAUUUUUGUAAUUAAUGUUAAUGCUGUUUUAGAAAACCUGGUCCUCCAUGGCUACACGUUUGGAGCAGCACUUGUGUAAUGAACAUACUGUAUUUAUAUUCUUCCCAGUCAAAUGUUUUAUUUUCUGAUUUUGUAGUUUUCUGUUUCCUGUAUAUUAUUGAGUUUAUUGAGUCUGCUGUUGUUUUGUCAUUUGUAUGUUGUGUUGCAGUGUCUGACUGUCAGGUAUGACAUGCCGUUUUUAAUCUGAAUUCUUCCACUGUAUUUAUUGGACUGAACAUGAGCCACUGAAAAUGCACAUUAACAACCUGAAAACAGGGUGUCACUCUUUUUCUCACUUGAUUUUCAAGAUACUGUAGGCUUAGGCCUGAAAGUCUUUGUAGGCCCGGUAUUUUAAUCUGUUAAAAACUACAAUUAGUCUGAUAUCAAUAGAAAUUAUGAUAUAUUGACUGUAAUGUGAAAACGAUGUUUCAAAUCUAGGCAUAUAUUCAGGUUUCUACCUAAAAUUAGAACACAUUUACUUGCUGAAGAAAAGUAAACUGUUAUUUUUUUAUUGUGUUAAUUUAGUGUUGUUGUUUUUUUUAAAAAUUGUUUAUUUGUAAGAUCAUGUGUUUGUGUUGGGUUGGGAUAUUGGUGUAUAAGUUACUUAUAAGUAUUAGACACUAAUAAAACCUUUCACAUUUCCAA